rnacentral:rRNA from 1 species
AUGUCCAGUUCUUGGGAGAGCCAAUUUCCUUUGACUUUUGUUAGAAGACUGGUUAAAGAAAUUUCAGAUCACUACCCUCUGAUCUUGAAUACUGAAGAUUAUAUUCCUACUCCAGUACAGAAAAGAGAAUUUAGAUUUCGCCUUAAUUGGCUCAAGAAUCCUGUAGUUGCUAAGGUGUGGAUGAAACCUAUUAAAUCAAAUGAUCCCUUUGAUAUAUUGAACAUUAAACUGAAGAGAUUUUAGAAGUUUUUCAAAGGAUGGGGAUCUAACAUUUUUUGGAAAAUCUAG